rnacentral:lncRNA from 1 species
UAGGAUUAUCAUGAGGAUAGUGAUCGAUCCGGAUAGAUCAAUGCACAGAUCACUUCCUUCGAGAUAGAUGGAUCUCUAGUCUACAAUGUAGAGAUACUGAACGAUGAGUGCAGAUAGUUGUUAGAGAAUAACUAGUAUUGAGUGUGACCAUAUGAGAGAUCACUUAGAUUUCUACUCGAUCGUCAGUGAUCGUCUCGAUGUUGUAGUUAUAUG